UACAGAGGUCCCGAGCGUUGUUCGGAUUCAUUGGGCGUAAAGGGCGCGUAGGCGGCAAGGCAAGUCGGGUGUGAAAGCUUGGGGCUUAACCCCGAAAGGGCACUCGAAACUGCGUUGCUAGAGGGCCGGAGAGGAGAUCGGAAUUCACGGUGUAGCAGUGAAAUGCGUAGAGCUCGUGAGGAAGACCGGUGGCGAAGGCGGAUCUCUGGACGGCCCCUGACGCUGAGGCGCGAAGGCUAGGGGAGCAAACGGG
rnacentral:rRNA from 1 species